GCCAGUUUAGCUCAGUGGAUAGAGCAUCAGUCUGCGGACUGAAGGGUCCCGGGUUCGAUUCCGGCCAAGGGCA
rnacentral:tRNA from 1 species